rnacentral:tRNA from 1 species
UGUCGGAUAGCUCAGCGGGAGAGCACCCGGUUGAUAACCGGGAGGUCACGCGUUCAAAUCGCGUUCCGACGACCA